rnacentral:rRNA from 1 species
UACAGUGGGGUGCAAACGUUGCUCGGAAUUAUUGGGCGUAAAGCGCACGUAGGCGGUUCGUUAAGUCGGAUGUGAAAGCCCUCGGCUCAACUGAGGAAGUGCACCCGAAACUGGCGAGCUUGAGUACGAAAGAGGAUCGCGGAAUUCCCGGUGUAGAGGUGAAAUUCGUAGAUAUCGGGAGGAACACCGGUGGCGAAGGCGGCGAUCUGGGUCGAUACUGACGCUGAGGUGCGAAAGCGUGGGGAGCAAACAGG